UUAACUCAAAUUUGUAAGGAGUUGGAAUUGGAACGUUUAAGUACGUUUGCCGCUAGGGGCGCUGUUCCAACUGCAUACAAAUUUGAGAUA
rnacentral:pre_miRNA from 1 species